GCCUGUUUGGCUUAGUUGCUAGAGUGUGUGACUCUUGAUCUCAGGCUUGUGGGUUCAAGCCCCACAUUAAGUG
rnacentral:tRNA from 1 species